GAUGAACGCUGGCGGCGUGCCUAAUACAUGCAAGUCGAGCGAACGGACGAGAAGCUUGCUUCUCUGAUGUUAGCGGCGGACGGGUGAGUAACACGUGGAUAACCUACCUAUAAGACUGGGAUAACUUCGGGAAACCGGAGCUAAUACCGGAUGAUAUUUUGAACCGCAUGGUUCAAAAGUGUAAGACGGUCUUGCUGUCACUUAUAGAUGGAUCCGCGCUGCAUUAGCUAGUUGGUAAGGUAACGGCUUACCAAGGCAACGAUGCAUAGCCGACCUGAGAGGGUGAUCGGCCACACUGGAACUGAGACACGGUCCAGACUCCUACGGGAGGCAGCAGUAGGGAAUCUUCCGCAAUGGGCGAAAGCCUGACGGAGCAACGCCGCGUGAGUGAUGAAGGUCUUCGGAUCGUAAAACUCUGUUAUUAGGGAAGAACAUAUGUGUAAGUAACUGUGCACAUCUUGACGGUACCUAAUCAGAAAGCCACGGCUAACUACGUG
rnacentral:rRNA from 1 species